AAGGAAUAUUGGUCAAUGGACGGAAGUCUGAACCAGCCAUCCCGCGUGCAGGAUGACUGCCCUAUGGGUUGUAAACUGCUUUUAGCAGAGACGAAACGCCUUCAUUUAUGAGGGUCUGACGGUAUCUGCAGAAUAAGCACCGGCUAACUCCGUGCCAGCAGCCGCGGUAAUACGGAGGGUGCAAGCGUUAUCCGGAAUCACUGGGUUUAAAGGGUGCGUAGGCGGAUAUUUAAGUCAGUGGUGAAAUCUUGUCGCUUAACGAUAAAAUUGCCAUUGAUACUGAAUGUCUUGAAUUGGGUUGAGGUUAGCGGAAUGUGACAUGUAGCGGUGAAAUGCAUAGAUAUGUCAUGGAACACCAAUUGCGAAGGCAGCUAGCUGGGCCUUGAUUGACGCUGAGGCACGAAAGCGUGGGUAGCGAAC
rnacentral:rRNA from 1 species